rnacentral:rRNA from 1 species
GACGAACGCUGGCGGCGCGCUUAACACAUGCAAGUCGAGCGAAGCGGCGGACGGGUGAGUAACACGUGAGUAACCUGCCUUAGACAUUGGGAUAGCCUCGGGAAACCGGGAUUAAUACCCAAUGGUCUAAGUUGGCCUCGCGUCCCAUUAGCGAGUUGGUGAGGUAACGGCCCACCAAGGCGACGAUGGGUAGCCGGCAUGCGAGGGUGAACGGCCACAUUGGAACUGAGAAAAGGGCCAAACGCGACGGGAGGCAGCAGUGGGGAAUAUGGAACAAUGGAGGGAACUCUGAUGCAUCGACGCCGCGUGAACGAAGAAGGCUUUCGAGUCGUAAAGUGCUUUUAUAUGGGAAGCGGUACCAUAAGAAAAAGCCCCGGCUAACUACGUGCCAGCAGCCGCGGUAAUUC